rnacentral:rRNA from 1 species
GGGUUGGCUCUUGUCUAUGUUUCUUGGAACAGGACGUCACAGAGGGUGAGAAUCCCGUGCGAUGAGAUGCCCAAUCCUAUGUAAGGUGCUUUCGAAGAGUCGAGUUGUUUGGGAAUGCAGCUCUAAGUGGGUGGUAAAUUCCAUCUAAAGCUAAAUAUUGGCGAGAGACCGAUAGCGAACAAGUACAGUGAUGGAAAGAUGAAAAGAACUUUGAAAAGAGAGUGAAAAAGUACGUGAAAUUGUUGAAAGGGAAGGGUUUGAGAUCAGACUCGAUAUUUUGUGAGCCUUGCCUUCGUGGCGGGGUGACCCGCAGCUUAUCGGGCCAGCAUCGGUUUGGGCGGUAGGAUAAUGGCGUAGGAAUGUGACUUUGCUUCGGUGAAGUGUUAUAGCCUGCGUUGAUGCUGCCUGCCUAGACCGAGGACUGCGAUUUUAUCAAGGAUGCUGGCAUAAUGAUCCCAAACC